rnacentral:rRNA from 1 species
CCCGCUGAGUUUAAGCAUAUCAAUAAGCGGAGGAAAAGAAACUAACAAGGAUUCCCCUAGUAACGGCGAGCG